AUUUUUGAGAGUUUGAUCCUGGCUCAGAACGAACGCUGGCGGCGCGCCUAACACAUGCAAGUCGAACGAGAGACUCUUCGGAGUAGUAAAGUGGCGAACGGGUGAGUAAUACAUGGGUAAUCUGCCUUUGAGCGGGGGAUAACCAGCCGAAAGGCUGGCUAAUACCCCAUACGCUUCCGGUCCCUUGGGUAAGGAAGGAAAGCUGCAUCGUGGAUGUGGCACUCGAAGAUGGGCUCAUGGCCUAUCAGCUUGUUGGUGGGGUAACGGCCUACCAAGGCAACGACGGGUAGCUGGUCUGAGAGGACGAUCAGCCACACUGGCACUGAGAUACGGGCCAGACUCCUACGGGAGGCAGCAGUGAGGAAUAUUGCGCAAUGGGCGAAAGCCUGACGCAGCGACGCCGCGUGGGGGAAGAAGGUUUUCGGAUUGUAAACCCCUUUUAGGAGGAAAGAUGGGGUGGGUUUCCACCCGGACGGUACCUCCAGAAAAAGCCACGGCUAACUUCGUGCCAGCAGCCGCGGUAAUACGAAGGUGGCGAGCGUUGUUCGGAUUUACUGGGCGUAAAGAGCACGUAGGCGGUUUAGUAAGCCCCUUGGGAAAGCUAUGGGCUUAACCCAUAAAGGUCGAGGGGGACUGCUAAGCUAGAGGGCGGGAGAGGAGCGCGGAAUUUCCGGUGUAGCGGUGAAAUGCGUAGAUAUCGGGAAGAAGGCCGGUGGCGAAGGCGGCGCUCUGGAACGUCUCUGACGCUGAGGUGCGAAAGCGUGGGGAGCAAACAGGAUUAGAUACCCUGGUAGUCCACGCCGUAAACGAUGUCAACUAGCCGUUG
rnacentral:rRNA from 1 species